rnacentral:misc_RNA from 1 species
GAAGUGCGAUAAGCAGUGCGAAUUGCAGAAUUCCGCGAAUCAUCAGAUUUUUGAACGCAAGUUGCGCCGAGCAGUUCGCUGUUCGGCAUGCUUGUUUCAGUGUCGUAAUAAUUAUAUAUCUUAAUGUGAUUGAUGAAAGUAAGAAAGUAGUACUCCUACUUCUUUAUUGACAUCUCUCAUGAAAUAAGAAUGUGUAUGUACUAUCACACAAUGAAGUAGUCACUAAUAUACACUCUGUGUAUAUUGUGUGAUCUCAUUGAUGUUGUUAGUUACUAAAUAUACAUAGAAAUUAUUUAUUAUUCUUAUCAAAUGGCAUCUGAAAUCAAGCAAGAUUUCCCGCUGCACUUAAGC